rnacentral:rRNA from 1 species
UACAACUUUCAGCAACGGAUGUCUAGGCUCCCACAACGAUGAAGAACGCAAGCGAAAUGCGAUACGUAAUGCGAAUUUGCAAAACCUCGUGAAUCAUCAAGACUUUGAACGCACAUUUGCGCUUCCGGGAAAUGCCCGGUAGCAUACUUAUCUGAGU